GAAGAAAGGAGACGUUUCCUUACCAAGAUGGCCGCAGCCCGACGAAUGCAUGGGGUUUGAAAUUCAUCCUUGUGAAACACAGGCUGUACUUCCGGAUUUCUGAAAAGUCAGGGAUGCGUGGAUAUUACUUAAUGGAGCUUUUCCUCCAGACAGGAAGUCCAGUUCUUAUCACACAUGUCGACUGUCAGGUACCAGGUUGCUGGGCCCCACACAUCACUUUGUAAAAUCACACUCUCUUCUCCUCAGCUCAGAGAGUCAAGAGCAGCCGAGAGCUUCAGUGUGCAGUUGUCCCUGAUUGGCUGAGGGUCUUUCAUUCACAGUUUCUUCUGAUUGAUUGACCUUACAUCGAGGAGCAAUAAGCCAGCAUGUGGACAGUGAGAAACGCUCCAUUUCCGAAGGAGAUAUAAGGGUCAGGGUUUUUGUCUAAAAUCCCAUGCAAGUCUAUGGGACUUCUGGUACCUUACUCUACAAGCUCUGCAUCGCAUCUAUGGAUACAGCCACAUCACAGGCUCUUCAAGUACCUCUUCAUCAGUUCAGCAUCUUCUGGCGAUUGUAUCAGUCUGGUUUACAAGCCACAUACCUCCCACAAGCCACCUCUAAUAGCCCAGCCCCUUGCACUUUUGGGCAUAUUAUCUCUUUAUCACAGCUCAGCCCCACCUGAGGACGGGAUAUGAGGAUGGCAUAUGAGGAUGGAAUAUGAGGACAAGGGAAUCAGUGUUGUUUUCCCUCUCCUGCAAGGUUUAAAAAAGAAGACCAGGCAACUAAAAGCGACCAUACUGAAGGCCAUACUAAAAGAGAUCUACACUUUAUGGCAAUAGAUCCUGUACCUAGCCCGGUGAGAGGGGUGAAUACAUCAGUUCAAUACCUUGCGGCCACAUGGCCUUAAUGUCUAGGUCGUGGUUCUUCUGGAGUAUCUCCAUUUUUCUGCAGGCUCCAAUUAAGACAUUAUGAGUGAUGUGUAUCUGUAUAUGAAUUUUGUUCUAUAUAUUUUUUUCUUUUUAUAGAUCAUCGGCAUAUUGAAUAUAACUAUGAAGGGGAGGCUUUGGAGAUUGUAUGAAUAAUUAUAUGUCUUACA